rnacentral:rRNA from 1 species
GCAAGUCGAACGGUAACAGGAAAUAGCUUGCUAUUUUGCUGACGAGCGGCGGACGGGUGAGUAAUGCUUGGGAACAUGCCUUGAGGUGGGGGACAACAGUUGGAAACGACUGCUAAUACCGCAUAAUGUCUACGGACCAAAGGGGGCUUCGGCUCUCGCCUUUAGAUUGGCCCAAGUGGGAUUAGCUAGUUGGUGAGGUAAUGGCUUACCAAGGCGACGAUCCCUAGCUGGUCUUAGAGGAUGACC